AUCCAUUCAUCUGUUGAUGGGCAUCUAGGCUGGUUCUGAUUUUGGCUACUGUUAAUUUUGGUGCAAUAAACAUGGGUAUUCAGAUAUCCCUAUGGAAUGCUUAUG
rnacentral:miRNA from 1 species